UACGGCCGCAAGGUUAAAACUCAAAUGAAUUGACGGGGGCCCGCACAAGCGGUGGAGCAUGUGGUUUAAUUCGAUGCAACGCGAAGAACCUUACCUACUCUUGACAUCCAGAGAACUUAGCAGAGAUGCUUUGGUGCCUUCGGGAACUCUGAGACAGGUGCUGCAUGGCUGUCGUCAGCUCGUGUUGUGAAAUGUUGGGUUAAGUCCCGCAACGAGCGCAACCCUUAUCCUUUGUUGCCAGCGAUUCGGUCGGGAACUCAAAGGAGACUGCCAGUGAUAAACUGGAGGAAGGUGGGGAUGACGUCAAGUCAUCAUGGCCCUUACGAGUAGGGCUACACACGUGCUACAAUGGCAUAUACAAAGAGAAGCGACCUCGCGAGAGCAAGCGGACCUCAUAAAGUAUGUCGUAGUCCGGAUUGGAGUCUGCAACUCGACUCCAUGAAGUCGGAAUCGCUAGUAAUCGUGGAUCAGAAUGCCACGGUGAAUACGUUCCCGGGCCUUGUACACACCGCCCGUCACACCAUGGGAGUGGGUUGCAAAAGAAGUAGGUAGCUUAACCUUCGGGAGGGCGCUUACCACUUUGUGAUUCAUGACUGGGGUGAAGUCGUAACAAGGUAACCGUAGGGGAACCUGCGGUUG
rnacentral:rRNA from 1 species